CGGGGUGCACCAGGCGCGAAAACUCUACAAUGCAGGCAACUGCGAUAGGGGGACAUCGAGUGGCAUCCACCUUGGGUGCCUGUCCAACCGUCUAAAAAACGGUUGUUAGCAAGGGCCGGGUAAGACCGGUGCCAGCCGCCGCGGUAAUACCGGCGGCUCGAGUGGUGGCCGAUAUUAUUGAGUCUAAAGGGUCCGUAGCCGGCUUUGCAAGUCCCCUGGGAAAUCCAGCGGCUUAACCGUUGGGCUUUCAUGGGAUACUACAUUGCUUGGGACUGGGAGAGGUAGGAGGUACUCGGGGGGUAGGGGUGAAAUCCUGUAAUCCUCCGGGGACCACCGGUGGCGAAGGCGUCCUACCAGAACAGGUCCGACGGUGAGGGACGAAAGCUAGGGGCACGAACCGGAUUAGAUACCCGGGUAGUCCUAGCCGUAAACGAUGCCCACUAGGUGUCACGACGGUCGUGAAUCGUCGUGGUGCCGUAGGGAAGCCGCGAAGCGGGCCACUUGGGAAGUACGGCCGCAAGGCGGAAACUUAAAGGAAUUGGCGGGGGAGCACAAGGGCGAAUUCGCGG
rnacentral:rRNA from 1 species